AUCCCUAGAUGCUAAAAAGCCUAUGAUUCCAUGUCUGCUCUGAACCUUCCUCUCCCAUUCUCCUUUCUUGGCUUAGGACAAAGGUCUGUGGGGGAGACAGAAGGAGUUUACCAGAGAAGAUCCCUGUUCUCCUGGAACUACUAAGGGAGCAGAUGGAGUAAAUGAGCCCCAGGAUCAGGGAGGCAGGCCUGAUGCUCCCUUCUGGUAGCAGAACAGAAUUAGAGGGAGAGGAGGAGAUGGUUUGCGGCUUGCUUUCUUCUGGCCCAGAGACAUCCCAGAAUUUGUGUGUGGCUGAGUAUGAAGGGUUUGAAGCAUUUGGGGGUGGUGGGGAGGGACAGGAGAGAAGAUGGGGGAUGGAGAGGAGAAGGACCUGGAAAUUCUAUACUUGCUUUUUCUUCAGGCAUCUUUUUUAUAACCUAAAAG
rnacentral:lncRNA from 1 species